rnacentral:rRNA from 1 species
GACGAACGCUGGCGGCGUGCUUAACACAUGCAAGUCGAACGGUAAGGCUCCAGCUUGCUGGGGUACACGAGUGGCGAACGGGUGAGUAACACGUGGGUGACCUGCCCUGCACUUCGGGAUAAGCCUGGGAAACUGGGUCUAAUACCGGAUAGGACCGCACCGUGAGGAUGUGGUGGAAAGUUUUUUCGGUGUGGGAUGGGCCCGCGGCCUAUCAGCUUGUUGGUGGGGUAAUGGCCUACCAAGGCGGCGACGGGUAGCCGGCCUGAGAGGGUGGACGGCCACAUUGGGACUGAGACACGGCCCAGACUCCUACGGGAGGCAGCAGUGGGGAAUAUUGCACAAUGGGCGGAAGCCUGAUGCAGCGACGCCGCGUGGGGGAUGACGGCCUUCGGGUUGUAAACUCCUUUCACCAUCGACGAAGGGUUUCUGACGGUAGAUGGAGAAGAAGCACCGGCUAACUACGUGCCAGCAGCCGCGGUAAUACGUAGGGUGCGAGCGUUGUCCGGAAUUACUGGGCGUAAAGAGCUCGUAGGUGGUUUGUCGCGUCGUCUGUGAAAUUCCGGGGCUUAACUCCGGGCGUGCAGGCGAUACGGGCAUAACUUGAGUACUGUAGGGGAGACUGGAAUUCCUGGUGUAGCGGUGAAAUGCGCAGAUAUCAGGAGGAACACCGGUGGCGAAGGCGGGUCUCUGGGCAGUAACUGACGCUGAGGAGCGAAAGCAUGGGGAGCGAACAGGAUUAGAUACCCUGGUGGUCCAUGCCGUAAACGGUGGGCGCUAGGUGUGGGUUUCCUUCCACGGGAUCCGUGCCGUAGCUAACGCAUUAAGCGCCCCGCCUGGGGAGUACGGCCGCAAGGCUAAAACUCAAAGGAAUUGACGGGGGCCCGCACAAGCGGCGGAGCAUGUGGAUUAAUUCGAUGCAACGCGAAGAACCUUACCUGGGCUUGACAUAUACAGGAUCGCGCCAGAGAUGGUGUUUCCCUUGUGGCUUGUAUACAGGUGGUGCAUGGUUGUCGUCAGCUCGUGUCGUGAGAUGUUGGGUUAAGUCCCGCAACGAGCGCAACCCUUGUCUUAUGUUGCCAGCACGUUGUGGUGGGGACUCGUAAGAAACUGCCGGGGUUAACUCGGAGGAAGGUGGGGAUGACGUCAAAUCAUCAUGCCCCUUAUGUCCAGGGCUUCACACAUGCUACAAUGGUCGGUACAGUGGGUUGCCAGUCCGUGAGGGCGAGCUAAUCCCGCAAAGCCGGUCUCAGUUCGGAUCGGGGUCUGCAACUCGACCCCGUGAAGUCGGAGUCGCUAGUAAUCGCAGAUCAGCAACGCUGCGGUGAAUACAAUCGCGGGCCU